rnacentral:rRNA from 1 species
UAAUACGGAGGGGGCCAGCGUUGUUCGGAAUUAUUGGGCGUAAAGGGCGCGUAGGCGGUUCGGCAAGUCAGUCGUGAAAUCCCUCGGCUCAACCGAGGAACUGCGUCUGAAACUGCCGAACUCGAGUCCCGGAGAGGGUAGCGGAAUUCCCAGUGUAGCGGUGAAAUGCGUAGAUAUUGGGAGGAACAUCAGUGGCGAAGGCGGCUACCUGGACGGGUACUGACGCUGAGGCGCGAAAGCGUGGGGAGCAAACAGGAUUAGAUACCCUGGUAGUCCACGCUGUAAACGAUGGGCACUUGGUGUUGCGGGUAUCGACCCCUGCAGUGCCGAAGCUAACGCAUUAAGUGCCCCGCCUGGGGAGUACGGUCGCAAGGCUG